rnacentral:rRNA from 1 species
GACGAACGCUGGCGGCGUGCCUAAUACAUGCAGGUAGAACGCUGAAGGAGGAGCUUGCUUCUCUGGAUGAGUUGCGAACGGGUGAGUAACGCGUAGGUAACCUACCUGGUAGCGGGGGAUAACUAUUGGAAACGAUAGCUAAUACCGCAUAAGAGUAGAUGUUGCAUGACAUUUGCUUAAAAGGUGCAAUUGCAUCACUACCAGAUGGACCUGCGUUGUAUUAGCUAGUUGGUGAGGUAACGGCUCACCAAGGCAACGAUACAUAGCCGACCUGAGAGGGUGAUCGGCCACACUGGGACUGAGACACGGCCCAGACUCCUACGGGAGGCAGCAGUAGGGAAUCUUCGGCAAUGGACGGAAGUCUGACCGAGCAACGCCGCGUGAGUGAAGAAGGUUUUCGGAUCGUAAAGCUCUGUUGUAAGAGAAGAACGAGUGUGAGAGUGGAAAGUUCACAC